rnacentral:misc_RNA from 1 species
GAUGAAGAACGUAGCGAAAUGCGAUACUUGGUGUGAAUUGCAGAAUCCCGUGAACCAUCGAGUCUUUGAACGCAAGUUGCGCCUCAAGCCAUUAGGUUGAGGGCACGUCUGCCUGGGCGUCACAUAUCGUUGCCUGAUGCCAGUUUCCUCGUGAUGGGUGACUGUGCAGGGCGAAUGAUGGCUUCCCGUGAGCAUUGUUGCCUCAUGGUUGGUUGAAAAUUGAGCCCUUGGUAGGGAGCGCCGUGAUAGAUGGUGGUUGAGUGACGAACGAGACCCAAUCAUGUGAGACCCCUACCGAAUUUGGCCUUCAUGACCCACAUGCGUCUUUGGAACGCUCAUGACGAGACCUCAGGUCAGGCGGGGCUACCCGCUGAGUUUAAGCAUAUCAAUAAGCGGAGGA